CAGUCGCCGCGGGAAUACGUAGGUGGCAAGCGUUAUCCGGAAUUAUUGGGCGUAAAGCGCGCGUAGGCGGUUUUUAAGUCUGAUGUGAAAGCCCACGGCUCAACCGUGGAGGGUCAUUGGAAACUGGAAAACUUGAGUGCAGAAGAGGAAAGUGGAAUUCCAUGUGUAGCGGUGAAAUGCGCAGAGAUAUGGAGGAACACCAGUGGCGAAGGCGACUUUCUGGUCUGUAACUGACGCUGAUGUGCGAAAGCGUGGGGAUCAAACAGGAUUAGAUACCCCGGUAGUCCCUGUCUCUUAUACC
rnacentral:rRNA from 1 species